UACGUAGGGGGCAAGCGUUGUCCGGAAUCAUUGGGCGUAAAGAGCGUGUAGGCGGCUCGGUAAGUCCGCUGUGAAAGUCCAGGGCUCAACCCUGGGAUGCCGGUGGAUACUGUCGGGGCUCGAGUCCGGAAGAGGAGUGUGGAAUUCCGUGGUGUAGCGGUGAAAUGCGCAGAUAAUCGAGGAGGAACACCAAUGGCGAAGGCAGCACCUCGUGGGACGUGACUGACGGCUGAGACGCGAAAGCGUGGGGAGCAAACAGGAUUAGAUACCCCGUGU
rnacentral:rRNA from 1 species